UACGGGGGGAGCAAGCGUUGUUCGGAUUUACUGGGCGUAAAGGGCGCGUAGGCGGUCGUGACAGGUCACUUGUGAAAUCUCCGGGCUUAACUCGGAACGGUCAAGUGAUACUGUCGGACUAGAGUACAGAAGGGGCAACUGGAAUUCUCGGUGUAGCGGUGAAAUGCGUAGAUAUCGAGAGGAACACCUGCGGCGAAGGCAGCUUACUAAGCCGUUAUUGACGCUGAGGCACGAAAGCGUGGGGAGCAAACAGG
rnacentral:rRNA from 1 species